rnacentral:lncRNA from 1 species
GUUUUUUUUUAAAUUUUAUAUAGAUUAGACCGUUGGUUUUCCCGUUUGAAUGGUUUUACUAGUAAUUUUGGGGCCCUUUAUAGCUUGUUGUUCGGUGUGAGCCAAGGCUCUGUGUUGAAGGCCGUACAUUGACCUAUAAUGGUUUACUUUUUUUUAGUUGUUAAUUUGGAUGGAGAGUUGUCUCAUUGGCACUCACACCACAUCUUCCUAUAUCUAU